CAAUGUGGACAUGCACCUGAAGC
rnacentral:piRNA from 1 species